CAUAAAGCCAUGAGGUUGCUUCUGGAAGGCUGAAAUUGCGCCAAAAAAAUUGUGAGAUGUUUGUGUGUUUACCAGCUGGCUUGUUUGGAAUAUCUGUCCAGCUCAAAAAUGGCUCCAGCGGUUAGAAACCGGUGUUGGAUGGCAGAAUGGUUUUAUGGAAACUUCAAGCAUAUGACGGCUUAAUUUUCUUCCACAAGGCUGUGAGACCAGGUUGCAGCCUUAGGUCAUGCUCCCCAUCAUACGUCCCAUGCAAGCCCAGCCUAGAAAAUGCACAGCUAACAUUCAUGGUGAUGCUAAAGUUAUCAGAUCUACAGCACCAGGUGACAUACAGCCAACACUUACAGGGUCUACUUCAUUGUCAAAAGAAAUGUCUGUGUCUCCUUUGUUAAACCAGCUGGCUUGUUUGGAAUAUCUGUCCAGUUCAAAAAUGGCUCCAGCGGUUAGAAAACGGUGUUGGAUGGCAGAAUGGUUUUAUGGAAACUUCAAGCAUAUGACAGCUUAAUUUUCUUCCACAAGGCUGUGAGACCAGGUUGCAGGUGAUGCUAAAGUUAUCAGAUCUACAGCACCAGGUGACAUACAGCCAACACUUACAGUGUCUACUUCAUUGUCAAAAGAAAUGUCUGUGUCUCCUUUGUUAAACCAGAUGCAGCAAUGUGAAGCGAGAGGCCAUAAUAUACAGAGGUCUUCACUUCAACUGCGUCUGCUGACAUCCAGGCUGCAAGUUGAUUUUGUUUUAUAUACAGAUGUUCAAGCACUGGACAAAAUGUCUACAUGAAACAUUUCUCCGUUACAUCAGCCCAGCAUAUGUGACCGUGUAUGGAGAGAUGCUCACUUCACCUCUUGUUUACGCAGAAGAAAUGCUUCCACGCUGUCGCUAGAUGAUUCUCGCUCAUUACAAUGGCACCAUGACUGUUUACAGAUUACAGAGAACCUAAUCGAACGCCUUUCUGCAACUAUUGAAUAAUUGGAACACAACUUGUGACUUUAGCCCAGUGACAUUAAGCUAGAUAUCCUUUGUUGAAGAAAUAGCAAUGCAUAUGGGUGAACCAAUCACACGAGGCAUCUAUGUGCACGCACCAAUCAGCAGCUACUGAGCCUAUCUAGAUAUGCUUUCAAGCAAAGAAUAUCAAGAGAAUGAAACAAAGUUCUGUCAUAGCUGUCUCUUUAAAGAUGAACAAUUAAACUUAUAUACACACGAUGUGCACAGGGAAAAAAAGGUGAUUAUGGCAGAAGUGCAGCAUUUUUCUUCGACUACCUUGAACGAUAAACAUGGAUGUAAUUUGGAUUUAUGACCUCUGUCUGCUAUUUUAAGUGUUGUGUUGCUGUGUGUCAAUAAAGCUUUGACUUCUCUUA